GACGAACGCUGGCGGCGUGCUUAACACAUGCAAGUCGAACGGAAAGGCCCUGCCUUUGUGGGGUGCUCGAGUGGCGAACGGGUGAGUAACACGUGAGUAACCUGCCCUUGACUUUGGGAUAACUUCAGGAAACUGGGGCUAAUACCGGAUAGGAGCUCCUGCUGCAUGGUGGGGGUUGGAAAGUUUCGGCGGUUGGGGAUGGACUCGCGGCUUAUCAGCUUGUUGGUGGGGUAGUGGCUUACCAAGGCUUUGACGGGUAGCCGGCCUGAGAGGGUGACCGGCCACAUUGGGACUGAGAUACGGCCCAGACUCCUACGGGAGGCAGCAGUGGGGAAUAUUGCACAAUGGGAGGAAGCCUGAUGCAGCAACGCCGCGUGCGGGAUGACGGCCUUCGGGUUGUAAACCGCUUUCGCCUGUGACGAAGCGUGAGUGACGGUAAUGGGUAAAGAAGCACCGGCUAACUACGUG
rnacentral:rRNA from 1 species